rnacentral:tRNA from 1 species
GGCCGGUUAGCUCAGUUGGUUAGAGAGUGGUGCUAUUAACGCCAAGGUCGUGGGUUCGAUCCCCAUACUGGCCA